rnacentral:rRNA from 1 species
GACGGAGGAUGCAAGCGUUAUCCGGAAUGAUUGGGCGUAAAGCGUCCGCAGGUGGCAGUUCAAGUCUGCUGUCAAAGACCGGGGCUUAACUUCGGAAAGGCAGUGGAAACUGAACAGCUAGAGUAUGGUAGGGGCAGAGGGAAUUCCUGGUGUAGCGGUGAAAUGCGUAGAGAUCAGGAAGAACACCGGUGGCGAAAGCGCUCUGCUGGACCUUAACUGACACUGAGGGACGAAAGCUAGGGGAGCGAAUGGG